rnacentral:rRNA from 1 species
AAACCCUUUAACGAGGACCUAUGAGAGGGCAAGUCUGGUGCCAGCAGCCGCGGUAAUUCCAGCUCUCAAGGUGUAUAUCGCCAUUGCUGCGGUUAAAAAGCUCGUAGUUGGAUCUGCGCCUUCGGACUCGGUCCACCCAACGGGUGCGAACUGAGCUCCGAGGCUACUACUGCUGGUUUUCCCUUGAUGCUCUUCACUGGGUGUCUUGGGUGGCUAGCGAGUUUACUUUGAAAAAAUUAGAGUGCUCAAAACAGGCUAUUGCCUGAAUACCGGUGCAUGGAAUAAUAGAAUAGGAUCUCGGUCCUAUUUUGUUGGUUUUCGGAACUGAGAUAAUGGUUAAGAGGGACAGACGGGGGCAUUCGUAUCGCUGCGUGAGAGGUGAAAUUCUUGGACCGCAGCGAGACGCCCAACUGCGAAAGCAUUUGCCAAGAAUGUCUUCGUUAAUCAAGAACGAAAGUCAGAGGUUCGAAGGCGAUCAGAUACCGCCCUAGUUCUGACCGUAAACGAUGCCAACUAGCGAUCCGCCGGUGGUAAUUACGCCCCGGCGGGGAGCUUCCCGGAAACGAAAGUCUUCCGGUUCCGGGGGAAGUAUGGUUGCAAAGCUGAAACUUAAAGGAAUUGACGGAAGGGCACCACCAGGAGUGGAGCUUGCGGCUUAAUUUGACCCAACACGGGAAAACUCACCCGGCCCGGACACCGUAAGGAUUGACAGAUUGAGAGCUCUUUCUUGAUUCGGUGGUUGGUGGUGCAUGGCCGUUCUUAGUUGGUGGAGCGAUUUGUCUGGUUUAUUCCGAUAACGAACGAGACUCUGGCCUACUAACUAGUGACAGAAUUAUUGCUGUUCUGGUUACUUCUUAGAGGGACAAGUGGUGUUCAGCCACACGAAAUUGAGCAAUAACAGGUCUGUGAUGCCCUUAGAUGUCCGGGGCUGCACGCGUGCUACACUGGAGGAAACAGCAUGCGAAACCAUUGCCGAGAGGCAUUGGUAAACCCGAGAAAAUCUUCCGUGAUCGGGAUCGGGAAUUGCAAUUAUUUCCCUUGAACGAGGAAUUCCCAGUAAGUGUGGGUCAUCAGCUCGCGCUGAUUACGUCCCUGCCCUUUGUACACACCGCCCGUCGCUGCCCGGGACUGAGCCGUUUCGAGAAAAGCGGGGACUGCUGCUGUUGGGGCUUUCGGGCCUUGGCUUCGGUGGAAACCGCUU